rnacentral:rRNA from 1 species
UACGUAGGUGGCGAGCGUUGUCCGGAUUUACUGGGCGUAAAGAGCGCGCAGGCGGUCGUGCAAGUCGCGUGUGAAAGCCCCCGGCUCAACUGGGGAGGGUCACGCGAUACUGCUCGACUCGAAGGCAGGAGAGGGAAAUGGAAUUCCCGGUGUAGUGGUGAAAUGCGUAGAUAUCGGGAGGAACACCAGUGGCGAAGGCGACUUCCUGGCCUGUUCUUGACGCUGAGGCGCGAAAGCUAGGGUAGCAAACGGG